UAGGGAAUUUUCCGCAAUGGGCGCAAGCCUGACGGAGCAACGCCGCGUGAGUGAAGACGGUCUUCGGAUUGUAAAGCUCUGUUCUCAGGGAAGAAACAAAUGACGGUACCUGAGCAGAAAGCCCCGGCUAACUACGUGCCAGCAGCCGCGGUAAUACGUAGGGGGCAAGCGUUGUCCGGAAUUAUUGGGCGUAAAGCGCGCGCAGGUGGUGGGUUAAGUUGUGGGUAAAAGGCAUUGGCUCAACCAAUGUAAGCCUGCAAAACUGGCACACUUGAGUGCAGGAGAGGGGAGUGGAAUUCCCGGUGUAGCGGUGGAAUGCGUAGAUAUCGGGAGGAACACCAGUGGCGAAGGCGACUCUCUGGCCUGUAACUGACACUGAGGCGCGAAAGCGUGGGUAGCGAACA
rnacentral:rRNA from 1 species